rnacentral:rRNA from 1 species
UACGUAGGAGGCGAGCGUUGUCCGGAGUACUGGGCGUAAAGCGCACGCAGGCGGUCAGAUCAGUCUGGAGUGACAGUCGUCGGCUUAACCGACGAAGUGUUCUGGAAACUGUCUGACUUGAGGGCUCAGAGGGACACGGAAUUCCGGGUGGAGUGGUGAAAUGCGUAGAUAUCCGGAGGAACACCAAUGGCGAAGGCAGUGUCCUGGGAAGUACCUGACGCUCAGGUGGCGA